rnacentral:rRNA from 1 species
GACGAACGCUGGCGGCGUGCUUAACACAUGCAAGUCGAACGGAAAGGCCCUGCUUUUGUGGGGUGCUCGAGUGGCGAACGGGUGAGUAACACGUGAGUAACCUGCCCUUGACUUUGGGAUAACUUCAGGAAACUGGGGCUAAUACCGGAUAGGAGCUCCUGCUGCAUGGUGGGGUUUGGAAAGUUUCGGCGGUUGGGGAUGGACUCGCGGCUUAUCAGCUUGUUGGUGGGGUAGUGGCUUACCAAGGCUUUGACGGGUAGCCGGCCUGGGAGGGUGACCGGCCACAUUGGGACUGAGAUACGGCCCAGACUCCUACGGGAGGCAGCAGUGGGGAAUAUUGCACAAUGGGCGGAAGCCUGAUGCAGCAACGCCGCGUGCGGGAUGACGGCCUUCGGGUUGUAAACCGCUUUCGCCUGUGACGAAGCGUGAGUGACGGUAAUGGGUAAAGAAGCACCGGCUAACUACGUG